CAUCGCCUGAGGCUAGUAUCUCAGGUACCGCCUGCCCAAUGAUUUUGAAUGGCCGCAGUAUUUUGACUGUGCAAAGGUAGCAUAAUCAUUUGUCUUUUAAUUGAAGGCUUGUAUGAAUGGCUAAACGUAAGGUUAAYUAUCCCUUUAGUAAACCUAAACUUAAUCUAUAAGUCAAAAAGCUUAUAUACCAACGCAGGACGAGAAGACCCCGUAGAUCUUUAUAAUAAAUCUUAUAUUUACUUUAGUAGUUUAAUUAUUUAUUAAGAGUUCAUUAUUUGGUUGGGGCGACAAGAAGCAAAUUAACGCUUUUUAUAAAAACUAUAAUUCAAGGUUAAAUGACCCGGUGUCCGAUUAAGAAUACAAGUUACCUCGGGGAUAACAGCGUAAUCUAUUUUAAGAGUUCUUAUCAACAAAUAGGGUUGCGACCUCGAUGUUGGAUUAGGAUGUGAUUAAAAUGCAGCAGUUUUAUAUCAGGGUCUGUUCGACCUUUAAAAUCCUACAUGAUCU
rnacentral:rRNA from 1 species